rnacentral:piRNA from 1 species
UCUGUUGAGACUCAGCCCUGCGCCAGGUGA